UACGAAGGGUGCAAGCGUUACUCGGAAUUACUGGGCGUAAAGCGUGCGUAGGUGGUUUGUUAAGUCUGUUGUGAAAGCCCCGGGCUCAACCGUGAAUGGCAAUGGAUACUGGCAGGCUAGAGUGCGGUAGAGGGUAGUGGAAUUCCCGGUGUAGCGGUGAAAUGCGUAGAGAUCGGGAGGAACACCAGUGGCGAAGGCGGCUACCUGGACCAGCACUGACAUGAGGCACGAA
rnacentral:rRNA from 1 species